rnacentral:rRNA from 1 species
AUUGAACGCUGGCGGCAUGCCUUACACAUGCAAGUCGAACGGCAGCAUAGGAGCUUGCUCCUGAUGGCGAGUGGCGAACGGGUGAGUAAUAUAUCGGAACGUGCCCUAGAGUGGGGGAUAACUAGUCGAAAGACUAGCUAAUACCGCAUACGAUCUACGGAUGAAAGUGGGGGAUCGCGAGACCUCAUGCUCCUGGAGCGGCCGAUAUCUGAUUAGCUAGUUGGUGGGGUAAAAGCCUACCAAGGCAACGAUCAGUAGCUGGUCUGAGAGGACGACCAGCCACACUGGGACUGAGACACGGCCCAGACUCCUACGGGAGGCAGCAGUGGGGAAUUUUGGACAAUGGGGGCAACCCUGAUCCAGCAAUGCCGCGUGAGUGAAGAAGGCCUUCGGGUUGUAAAGCUCUUUUGUCAGGGGAGAAACGGUAGUAGCUAAUAUCUAUUGCUAAUGACGGUACCUGAAGAAUAAGCACCGGCUAACUACGUGCCAGCAGCCGCCGUAA